rnacentral:rRNA from 1 species
AUUGAACGCUGGCGGCAGGCCUAACACAUGCAAGUCGAGCGGAGCGGAGGACGGGGGAGUAAUGCCUAGGAAUCUGCCUGGUAGUGGGGGAUAACGUCCGGAAACGGGCGCUAAUACCGCAUACUAUCAGAUGAGCCUAGGUCGGCUUAGCUAGUGGGUGGGGUAAAGGCCUACAAAGGCGACGAUCCGUCACUGGUCUUAGAGGAUGAUCAUUCACACUGUAACUGUGACACGGUCCAGACUCAUACGGUAUGCAUCAGUGGGUAAUAUGGGCCAAUUGGCGAAAGCCUGAUCCAGCCAUGCCUCGUGUGUGAAGAAGGUCUUCGGAUUGUAAAGCACUUUAAGUUGGGAGGCGUUACCAACAGAAUAAGCACCGGCUAACUUCGUGCCAGCAGCCGCGGUAAUAC